rnacentral:rRNA from 1 species
UACGAAGGGGGCUAGCGUUGUUCGGAAUUACUGGGCGUAAAGCGUAUGCAGGCGGAUCUUUAAGUCAGGGGUGAAAUCCCGAGGCUCAACCUCGGAACUGCCUCUGAUACUGGGGAUCUUGAGUCCGGGAGAGGUUAGUGGAACUGCGAGUGUAGAGGUGAAAUUCGUAGAUAUUCGCAAGAACACCAGUGGCGAAGGCGGCUAACUGGCCCGGUACUGACGCUGAGAUACGAAAGCCAGGGGAGCAAACGGG